UCCUGCCAGAGGUCACUGCUAUCGGGGUUCGAUUAAGCCAUGCGAGUCGAGAGGGUUCGGCCCUCGGCGUACUGCUCAGUAACACGUGGAUAACCUGCCCUAGGGAAGGGGAUAACCCCGGGAAACUGGGGAUAAUACCCUAUAGGUUACAGAUGCUGGAAUGCCCUGUAACCCAAAGUUCCGACGCCCUAGGAUGGAUCUGCGGCCGAUUAGGUUGUUGUUGGGGUAAUGGCCCAACAAGCCCGUAAUCGGUACGGGUUGUGGGAGCAAGGGAUACUGGCAAUCUUGGAACCGGGAGAGGUGAGGGGUACUUCGGGGGUAGGAGUGAAAUCCUGUAAUCCUCGAGGGACCACCUGUGGCGAAGGCGCCUCACCAGAACGGCUUCGACAGUGAGGGACGAAAGCUGGGGGAGCAAACCGGAUUAGAUACCCGGGUAGUCCCAGCCGUAAACUAUGCGCGUUAGGUGUAUCGGUGACCACGAGUUACCGAGGUGCCGAAGGGAAACCGUGAAACGUGCCGCCUGGGAAGUACGGUCGCAAGGCUGAAACUUAAAGGAAUUGGCGGGGGAGCACCACAACAGGUGGAGCCUGCGGUUUAAUUGGACUCAACGCCGGGAAGCUCACCGGAUAAGACAGCAGAAUGAUUGCCGGGCUGAAGACUCUGCAUGACUAGCUGAGAGGAGGUGCAUGGCCGUCGUCAGUUCGUACUGUGAAGCA
rnacentral:rRNA from 1 species